GAUUUUAUAAUUAUUAGUGUUUUAAGCUUUCUGGGAAAAGUAUUCUCCAUAAGAACACAUACCUUUGUUAUUUGAGUUUUAUAUAUUUAGCUUUCAUACAUUUCAAACAUUGCAGAGGAUUCCCUAUACUGAUUUAGGGCAAAGGAAAGCAAUAGGACCUUCCUCAGUGGGUUCCAUGCUGAGGAAUCAAGACUGCCAUUUUGAAGUGAAGCAGAUUAGUCUUUUAAGGAGAGAUAGAUCAAGGAAAAGAGACAGUGGAUCUUUCUACCUUGUUUUAAGUCAUCAGUUUUCUUCCAGUUUAGGUAAAAUUUAUGUCAUCCAUUAAUUGGUUUUAAGUUCAGCUUCAGGACAGAUAAUUUGUGAGUGUAAAUUACUGUCAGGUCCUGCCAACAUAGUGACUGUCACUAUUUGUUAUGAAGCUCAAGGUCAGUUUUCAUUGACUAUUUUAUAGACGUAGACAGAUGGAGGCAGAAAUAGAUAACUAAAAUCUAUUUUUAGAACAGAGGCCAUAUUUUAGUUAUAUCAAGAAUCAUUUCUUAAUAUAUGGACCACUGACCUUUCUCCAGAUUAUGUCUUUUGUUUGAGGGGGAAGCUGGAUAUAAACUGGCAGUUAUAAAAAUUGUAAAGAAAUCAACUUGCCCAUUUUCAUUGUGUGUUUUUGGUCUCAAGCAUUUUCCAUGAACUGUGUGUGGAUUGGUUGCCUACAUCAGAUGACGAAGACAUGAGCGUUGCUACUAAGUGUGUCCCCAAGGAUGUGUCACAGCCUUUACCUGGACCUUCCCAUGAAAAAGGCAACGGAAUAGUCAAUGGAAAAGGGGAAGGGUCUUUUGCACAACAUCCUUCCUUGAAGGUAAUUAAUUAUGUAUAUUUUUUGAAGCACUAACUCCAUAUUGUAUAAAAUAUGUAUGAUUUAUGAAUCAUUUUCUUUUUAAAACCCAUUCAGGCUAGCACUAAAAUUGAAGAUCCUGCUGUGAAAGGGGCAGUACAAAGAAAGAAAGUACAGACCUUGAGAGAAGGUACAUUUUCAAUACAAAUGGAAUGCUAGGAAUAAGUGCAUUAAAUGAUGGAAGUGCUCACAUUUUUCUUACCGCUUACUCUAUUUGUUCAAAAUUGAAUGGAAGGCAUUGACAUAAAUAUUAUUGUUGGUAUUCAUAUUUGAAUAAAAAUAAAUUUAGAAGCCA
rnacentral:lncRNA from 1 species